rnacentral:rRNA from 1 species
AUUGAACGCUGGCGGCAGGCCUAACACAUGCAAGUCGAACGAGUGGCGGACGGGUGAGUAAUGUCUGGGAAACUGCCCGAUGGAGGGGGAUAACUACUGGAAACGGUAGCUAAUACCGCAUACCAUCGGAUGUGCCCAGAUGGGAUUAGCUAGUUGGUGGGGUAAAGGGCUACCAAGGCGACGAUCCGUAACUGGUCUGAGAGGAUGAUCAGUCACACUGGAACUGAGACACGGUCCAGACCCCUACGGGAGGCAGCAGUGGGGAAUAUUGGACAAGGGGCGAAAGCCUGAGCCAGCCAGGCCGCGUGUGUGAAGAAGGUCUGCGGAUUUUAAGGCACUUUAAGUUGGGAGGCGUUACCAACAGAAUAAGCACCGGCUAACUACGUGCCAGCAGCCGCGGUAAUAC